CGGGAUCGGCAGAGAUCAGGGAUCCAGGUGGUUCUCCCAGGAGCAGGGUCCAGCAGCCGCCGUGGCAGCGGCAGCCAGCUACUCUUUAACUCCCAGAUUUCGCGGUGCCCAGAGCCAACCAGGGCUCGGGGCUUCCGGGAGCUCAUCCAAUCGCGUUGCCGAGCCGUCCUCGAACUCGCCAAUCAGAGGGCAACCGCGUAAGAAAUUCGAAAGGAAACUUCGCGCUUCACGCCCCCAUAGUAACGAGGCCCAGGGAUUCAAAUGAACGCAACUUUAUGGAGCACCUCACGGCGGCAGAGACAUAGCGCGAGGGGCGGAGCUUCCACCAGCGUAAGGAGACAACGUGCGGCCUGAUUGCCCGGGAGAACCGGCACUCCCUCCUGUUCCGGGUCAAACCAUUCUCCCGCUUUUCCCCCGCCUUGGCGGGCAGUCGCAAUGGCAGGGAGUAAUACCAGUGCUGCCGCCGCGGCGACCGCGGCAGCCAACCUGAAUGCUGUGAGAGAGACCAUGGACGGUGAGUUCCUGUCCCCAUCCCUUCCACUCCUCCCGAGUUCGUAGGCAGACUCGGGGCCCACCCUAAGUUGUGGUUCUAUUGGAAGCUUGAGACUAGUCGCUCCUUGGCCCGGACCGCUUCACCCGAUACCCCGAGUCGGUCGACGCCUUGCCUUCGAGAGGUGUCUCCUUCGCUUCUGCGUGGGUGAUAGCGCGCGUUGUCCCGUUACCUCACGUCACCUUCACGCGCCCGGGCCCGGAGUGCGCGUGCCCGUUCCGCUAAUGACCCAUUAUUCCCCACCCCGGUUGGAUCCCUGUUGGGGACAUUCCCGCCUUCUCCCCCACCUCCUCUAGCUGUUAGCUUUGAAGCGGACACCAAUGCAGCCCAGCACUAGGAUGUAGUGAGCUACGUAGGGCUAGGCAAGGUGUACUUGUGUGUGUUUUUAUGCGUACGAAAAGUGAGGGUGAAAAACUGUUGUUUGUGUGGGUAUUGGUGUGAUGAAAUUGAAAAGAACAUGUGACUGUAUAGAGGCGUUGAAGUGGAAAGGGACAAACGGGCCCAGGACUCUUAUCUUCUGCACCACCUACAUGCCUAUGGGGGAAUAUAAAAGAACAACUUCCAGGUUAUUGCUGGAGGAAAUAUACCCCACAUCUGUAACAAGCACCAUAAGACUCCUGACAGUUUUUUUCCUUAAGACCUGGUGAGUGUACACAGUACUAUAUAUGAGGCAGAGAACCUGGGAUCAAAACCUGAGUUUGUUGCUUAUACUUGACUAAUCACUUAUUCUCUACGGGCCUUAGUUACAUCAUUUGAAAAAUAGGGAAGAGGAAAGAGACUAGAUGACCUCUGAAGUUCUUUCUGUUAUUAAAUUAAUGACCCUAAGUAUGGUAAACGUCUCAAAUGACAGAAUUUUGGAGAUAAAAAAACAUUUAGCUUAAAUUUAAGUAAAAUGUAUCUAUAGCAAUCCUCUAUCCCAGUGGUUGGUCCUUAAACUUUUUCACAGUGUUGGAACCCUUCUAUUUAAACAAAACUCUGGCAGAAAUCUUGUAGUAAAAUCCUCUACAAACAAACUUAAGAGAGUUCCUUAAAGCAUAGUUUAAGAAAUAUUGUUCUUAUCUAAUGAUGGUGAUCCUAUGGUUUGUAACCAAAGAUGGGCACAUGGAGACCCUGCCCCCGUUUGUUACUAGAAAGGCAGAGGACUUGGCUGGAGCUGCUCCCCGCCUCCUUUCCACCAUGCCUGAUGACAUUUUUUUGUAUCACUGGCCCCUGUGCCCAGCUGCCCAAUGGGAGCACUUUCUUGCCCUGUCUGGGGUAAGGGGGGG
rnacentral:lncRNA from 1 species